AUCUACGACCAUAGAACGCGGAAAACAGGGUAUCCCGUCCGCUCUGCCUUACUCAAGCCUCGUAUCGAUCAAGUAGUAGUAUCGUGGGUGACCAGAUGCGAAUUCUGAUUGUUGUAGUUC
rfam:Dactylellina haptotyla CBS 200.50 unplaced genomic scaffold scaffold00151, whole genome shotgun sequence.